CAGCCAGAAAGAUCACAACCUCUUGCAGUUCGAUUAGGGAGGCUAAAUCCCCCAAAUUAAUCUUCAUCUUUUUUUGUCUUCUCCCUGCACGGAUGGAGGAGUGACCAUGAAUGCAGGUUCACGCCAUAACUACAAUCCACAGACUUGCUGUUGGUGCUUUGGCUUUGAUUACACCUUUACAGUCAACUUCAAGGCCACAAUCUAAAAGGUAAAAGAUGCCUCCAGUGGAAAGAAAGGAAAACAUACCAGCCAGCAUCUCUAUUGAUACUACAGGCUGGAAUUUCUGGCACAGCUUUGUCCAAAUCAACAGGGGGUUCAAGAAGACUGUGCUCUGAAGAAUAUAGCUUUACCAAGUCGAAAAAUAUUCAGGAAAGUUAUUAUAUAGGUGAUUCUUGCCAAAAGUAGGAAAGAAUAAGUAUUCUGGCAGCUUUAUCUCAUCGUGACCAGCUGCAGAUUUCUUUUUUAAACACCCAGUAUGUACAGUAUAUCAACUUUAGUCGGAGCUUUAUACAGAUUAUAAAAACAUUUACUGAUUUAACCAACUGCUUGCAUUCAAACAUAAGGGUAUAAUUGAAUGAAAAAGAGCCAUCGUUCGACUUAUUCAAUCAUAAAUCACUGCAAUUCUCCGAGAACUGUAGCCACACACUUUAACAAAAAUACUGUUUAUAAUAAAAACCUCAAAUAUGUUCUUUCCGUCCAUAAUGUUGUAAUGAAAAGAUAUCCUUGAGCCAGUAACUCUUGGAAACUAAUAUGGCAUACGCGAAAUGACAUUUUCUAAAUAAAUGAUGAA